ACGCUGGCGGGUGCCUAAACAUGCAAGUCGAGCGGUAACAGGUGUAGCAAUACAUGCUGACGAGCGGCGAACGGGUGAGUAAUGUUUCGGAAUCUGCCCAAUGGUGGGGAAUAACCAGCCGAAAGGUUGGCUAAUACCGCAUGAGCCCUACGGGGGAAAGCGGGGGAUCGCAAGACCUCGCGCCGAUGGAUGAGCCGAAACCGGAUUAGCUAGUUGGUAGGGUAACGGCCUACCAAGGCGACGAUCCGUAGCUGGUCUGAGAGGACGACCAGCCACACUGGGACUGAGACACGGCCCAGACUCCUACGGGAGGCAGCAGUGGGGAAUAUUGGACAAUGGGGGAAACCCUGAUCCAGCGACGCCGCGUGUGUGAAGAAGGCCUGCGGGUUGUAAAGCACUUUUAGUGGGGAUGAAAAGCUCAGGGCUAAUACCGCUGAGUCUUGACCUAACCCAAAGAAAAAGCACCGGCUAACUCUGUGCCAGCAGCCGCGGUAAUACAGAGGGUGCGAGCGUUAAUCGGAAUUACUGGGCGUAAAGCGUGCGUAGACGGUUAUGUAAGUCGGGUGUGA
rnacentral:rRNA from 1 species